rnacentral:rRNA from 1 species
UACGUAGGUGACAAGCGUUUGUCCGGAUUACUGGGCGUAAAGAGCGCGCAGGCGGUCGAUCAAGUCGAGUGUGAAAGCCCCCGGCUCAACUGGGGAGGGUCAUUCGAUACUGAUCGACUCGAAGGCAGGAGAGGGUAGUGGAAUUCCCGGUGUAGUGGUGAAAUGCGUAGAUAUCGGGAGGAACACCAGUGGCGAAGGCGACUACCUGGCCUGUUCUUGACGCUGAGGCGCGAAAGCUAGGGGAGCAAAGCGGGG